UCCCUAGUGGUCCAAUAGUUAAGACUCAGUGUUCCCAAUACAGAGGACCUGGGUUCAAUCCCUGGUCAGGGAA
rnacentral:tRNA from 1 species